rnacentral:rRNA from 1 species
AAGUCUGGUGCCAGCAGCCGCGGUAAUUCCAGCUCCAAUAGCGUAUAUUAACGUUGUUGCAGUUAAAAAGCUCGUAGUUGAAGUGAGGGAGUGUGUGUUCAUGAGAGCUAGUCUCGAGUGUUCACAACCUCCCCCCUCCAAUCGGUGUAGUGGGGUAUUCAGUUAUUCUACUACUCCUUUGGUCGUUUACUGUGAGAAAAUUAGAGUGUUCAAAGCGGGCGUUUGUUUGAAUAGAUUAGCAUGGAAUAAUGAUUGAAGGCUUUCGUGUUCGAUUUGAUUGGUUUGUUCAUGGAAGCAAGGUUAAAAGGAACAGUUGGGGGUAUUCAUAUUCACUAGUUAGAGGUGAAAUUCUCGGAUUUAUGGAAGAUGAACAAGUGCG